AAAGCCACAGGACGGCUUAGACAUAAAACUUAAAGACAUGAUUAAAAGAGUGGAAAGAGAUUUGAUUGAUUUGCCUCGUCCCCUAUGCUGUCCAUCGAACACCUUAUUUUGGAAGCAUGUUCUAACACACCUAUUUCUUCAACAUUAUCUUAUAUUGUAAUUUAAUUUUAAUGAAAAUGGA